rnacentral:misc_RNA from 1 species
GGGCUCUAAAACAAGCCUGUUAAGCUACAUUUUACAUCUCUUGAGACUUGAGUUGUUCAUUGCGUCUGGGUGCACUUUAUAAGCGUAGAAUAUUGUGUUUUUCACUGCUAUUCCAGCCUUUUGAUUCUGCUUCUCAGCUCUGUGCUUGUUUUUUCUGCCAUUUUUUUUUCUUGCUCUUUUUUGGUUUAGCAGUCUUAUCAGUUGAUACUCCUUUGCGUAGGGUUUAACUAAACUGGUUCUCUGGGUGUUUGUGUAGAGGGUGGUGGUGAUUUUUUUUAUUUGCUUUUGGAAAUUGUGGCAUCUGGUUUUUGGUAGUUAUUUGGUGUUGGGUUUCUUUAGAUAUUUGGGAUCCGAGUUCUGUAUUGAGAUUUGGGUUUUCUAGUGAGCAAGGACUAAAUAAAGUCGUGAAAGGAAUUUCUUAGAAAAGGAGAAAUCAGUAGCAGAGAGAGCGUGAUAGAGAGAGACGAUGGCAGGAGGUGGAGGAGGAGCCGCGCCGCCGCCAAAACAGGAAGAGUUACAGCCACAUCCAGUGAAGGAUCAACUGCCUAACAUUGCUUACUGCAUUACGAGUCCUCCUCCUUGGCCUGAGGCGAUUCUACUUGGUUUCCAACACUACUUGGUGAUGCUUGGGACAACAGUGCUUAUACCCUCUACUUUAGUUCCCCAAAUGGGAGGAGGAAAUGAAGAAAAAGCAAAGAUGAUUCAAACUUUGCUAUUUGUGGCUGGAUUGAAUACAUUGUUCCAAACAAUGUUUGGUACUCGACUACCUGCAGUAAUUGGAGGCUCUUUUACCUAUUUGCCAACCACCAUUUCGAUUGUUUUGGCUGGUCGAUACAGUGACAUUUUGAGUCCCCAGGAGAAAUUUGAGAAGAUAAUGCGUGGAAUUCAAGGUUCUCUUAUUGUUGCCUCAACUCUACAGAUUGUCGUUGGCUUCAGUGGCCUUUGGCGUAAUGUUGCAAGGUUUAUUAUUUUUAUAUUAUUUGAUUAACUCUGACAACUUUUUGGUUCUGAUUUCCUUAAUUUUUGUUUUAAGUUCAUGGCCAUGAUUUCCAGCCCUUAUGUGUUGAUCAAUUCUUGAAUUUUGCAUGAGUUUCAUGGACUUGAUUACCAACCUGAUUUCCACUUCUUCUGUGUUGCUUAGUUCUGCUGCAUGUAGCACUUUCAGGGUCUCCUCUCUUAUAUAGUUGUUUGUCUUUUCUUUGAAUGUGAAUUCCAAUUCAUAUUAAACUUUUCAUGUCAUACCAACUUGAUUAUGCCAUUGUCAGAUUUGGUCCUAGAAACAGUAAAAUCUCUGUAGCUAGGAAUUUUAGUGAUGGUUUUGCAAUAUUGAAGAAUCUGCUUAAAUUAAUGUCAACCAAUUUAUGCUUAUUUAUACUUUGCCAGGUUCUUGAGUCCAUUAUCUGCUGUUCCUUUGGUUGCUUUAUCUGGUUUUGGGCUCUAUGAAUUUGGUUUUCCUCUGGUAUGUAUUUAGGCUUCCCUUCUUAAAUUGUUUUGUGCUACUAUUUGUAGAUGACAUUUUUAUCCCUUAACCCCUUAACCCCAUCUACACUACUCAGUAUUGACCUGGGUUUUUGUAUUACUAGCUUACGAAAUGUGUGGAGAUUGGACUGCCACAGAUCAUCUUUCUAGUUAUUUUCUCACAGGUAUAAUGGAAUAUUGUUUUGCAUAUUUAUCUCUUCUUUCACUUUUCAAUGGGGCACUGCAGAUAAUGUCAACAGUUGGUCUUAUCUUAGAUGAAAGUUCUGUAAAAAUAGAACCUUGAUGAGUUCUUGCAGUAUCUACCUCAUUUGACACGGGGGGAGAGGACUGUAUUUGGUCUCUUUGCCGUAAUAUUCUCGGUGGUUAUUGUGUAGAUUUAUGCUCACCUCCUUACUGUUGGUGGAGCAUAUGAAAAUUCAGGACCGAAAACUCAAAUAAGCUGCCGAACUGAUCGUGCAGGGAUUGUAGGUGCUGCCCCAUGGUAUGGUCCUUCUUGAAUUUCUUUCUAUCGGCACAUAGAGGUGAUGAGAUCUUGAUAUUGUACAUGGAUGAGUAGUGGUUAUUGUUGUUGGAGUGACGGCUUUUAUGGUCAUCUGGAGAGAUAAUGCUGAUAUACCAGUUUGAUGGCACUACUUAAUGUUGUUGGUUGCUUUCUUAUAUAUAUAUAUAUAUAUAAACACGAAACUAUGAAUUCCUUUUUUGUUUCUUGCUGAUCCUCAUUUGUGUUGUUAACACUUUUUAUAUAGGAUACGAGUUCCAUAUCCUUUCCAAUGGGGAGCUGCUACUUUUGAUGCUGGAGAGGCCUUUGCAAUGAUGGCUGCAUCAUUUGUUUCUCUUGUAGAGGUUUGAUUACCUGUGCUUACGACUUUUAGAAGUAUUAAUAAACUUGGAGUGUUACUAUUUCAUUUAGUGGGAAUAUCUUCUAUAUCUUGAGCUCAUAGUUGUGGAAAUAGGAUCUUCAAUGAACAUAUCCUAUAGGUAUGGGAUUGUACUGCCUGGUGAACUUUGCCUCCUAAGUUCUUCAAUAAACUUAAUCAAUUUCUAGAAUCCCUUUACUGUCGUAAUCUUUUCAUUGUUCUGAGCAUAAAAAGUCCAAAUCUUUCUAGUACUUCAUAGUUCUAUGAAUGUUUGAUUUGAACUCAUUAUAUUUUAUUUAUACAUGAUCCCCCAAAAUUUUAUUUGAACUCGUUACAUUUAUUCAUGAUCCACUGAAAUGUGCUUUACUCUCUCUCUGAUUAACAGUCCACUGGUGCUUUCAUUGCUGUGUCAAGAUAUGCAAGUGCCACUCCAUUGCCACCUUCUAUGCUAAGUCGUGGUGUUGGUUGGCAGGGAGUUGGAAUUCUCUUCUCUGGGAUAUUUGGAACUGGGAGCGGAUCAUCGGUAUCUGUGGAAAAUGCUGGUUUAUUGGCACUGACACGUGUUGGCAGCCGAAGGGUUGUUCAAAUAUCAGCAGGGUUUAUGAUUUUCUUUUCCAUUCUUGGGAAAUUUGGUGCUGUCUUUGCUUCAAUUCCAGUUCCAAUUGUUGCAGCUUUAUAUUGCCUUUUCUUUGCAUAUGUUGGUUCAGGAGGUCUCAGUUUCCUUCAGUUCUGUAACUUAAACAGCUUCAGGACAAAGUUUAUACUUGGAUUCUCUGUUUUCAUGGGCUUAUCAAUACCACAAUACUUCAAUGAGUACACAGCUAUUAAUGGUUAUGGUCCAGUCCACACUGGAGCAAGAUGGGUAACUGACUAUGCCUUAACUUUAUUAAUAACGAUAAUAAGCCUUUUGGAACCUGGUUUUUUUCCUUGGGGACUCAUAAUUUUGUAUGUUAUGGCAGUUCAACGACAUGAUAAACGUGCCAUUUUCAUCAGAGGCUUUUGUUGCUGGCAUAUUGGCAUUCUUCUUGGACACUACAUUGCACCAGAAAGACAGUGCAACAAAGAAAGACAGAGGUAUGCAUUGGUGGGACAGGUUCCGGUCAUUCAAGACGGACACAAGAAGUGAAGAGUUCUAUUCCCUUCCUUUCAAUCUGAACAAAUUCUUCCCAUCUGUGUGAUGUUGGAACAUAAAAUUCUGCAGUUGUUUGCUCAGGUUUUACCCCUAAAUAUCAUGUUGUGGGCACUACACCAUAACAUGGAUCUUGUUCUGCUUUUUGCCCGCAUUAGUGAGAUCUAAGAGAGCAAGAACUUGGUGAUAUAAUGUAUAAUAUUUGUUUUAAUACUUCUAACUAUCAUUUUCCUUCACAUGGAUCUCAGAUAGUUGAAAGUGGUACUGAAUUAGCAUAAAAGCAAAGUUUCUUUUUUUUUUUUU